GAUGAACGCUGGCGGCGUGCCUAAUACAUGCAAGUCGAGCGAACGGACGAGAAGCUUGCUUCUCUGAUGUUAGCGGCGGACGGGUGAGUAACACGUGGAUAACCUACCUAUAAGACUGGGGUAACUUCGGGAAACCGGAGCUAAUACCGGAUAAUAUUUUGAACCGCAUGGUUCAAAAGUGAAAGACGGUCUUGCUGUCACUUAUAGAUGGAUCCGCGCUGCAUUAGCUAGUUGGUAAGGUAACGGCUUACCAAGGCAACGAUGCAUAGCCGACCUGAGAGGGUGAUCGGCCACACUGGAACUGAGACACGGUCCAGACUCCUACGGGAGGCAGCAGUAGGGAAUCUUCCGCAAAGGGCGGAAGCCUGACGGAGCAACGCCGCGUGAGUGAUGAAGGUCUUCGGAUCGUAAAACUCUGUUAUUAGGGAAGAACAUAUGUGUAAGUAACUGUGCACAUCUUGACGGUACCUAAUCAGAAAGCCACGGCUAACUACGUG
rnacentral:rRNA from 1 species